GUAGGGUCCGAGCGUUGUCCGGAAUUAUUGGGCGUAAAGGGCUCGUAGGCGGUUUGUCACGUCGGGAGUGAAAACUCGGAGCUUAACUCCGAGCCUGCUUCCGAUACGGGCAGACUAGAGGUAUGCAGGGGAGAACGGAAUUCCUGGUGUAGCGGUGAAAUGCGCAGAUAUCAGGAGGAACACCGGUGGCGAAGGCGGUUCUCUGGGCAUUACCUGACGCUGAGGAGCGAAAGUGUGGGGAGCGAACAGGAUUAGAUACCCUGGUAGUCCACACCGUAAACGUUGGGCGCUAGGUGUGGGGCUCAUUCCACGAGUUCCGUGCCGCAGCUAACGCAUUAAGCGCCCCGCCUGGGGAGUACGGCCGCAAGGCUAAA
rnacentral:rRNA from 1 species